rnacentral:rRNA from 1 species
UACAGAGGGGGCGAGCGUUGUUCGGAAUUACUGGGACGUAAAGGGCGCGUAGGCGGCCCGCUAAGUCGAACGUGAAAUCCCCAGGCUCAACCUGGGAACUGCGUCCGAUACUGGCAGGCUUGAAUCCGGGAGAGGGAUGUGGAAUUCCAGGUGUAGCGGUGAAAUGCGUAGAUAUCGGGAGGAACACCUAUUGCGAAGGCAGCUCGCUGGGACGUUACUGACGCUGAGACGCGAAAGCGUGGGGGAGCAAAACAGG